rnacentral:rRNA from 1 species
CCUACGGGAGGCAGCAGUGGGGAAUAUUGGACAAUGGGGGGAACCCUGAUCCAGCGACGCCGCGUGAGUGAAGAAGUAGUUCGGGAGGUAAAGCGCUAUCAGCAGGGAAGAAAAUGACGGUACCUGACGAAGAAGCCCCGGCUAACUCCGUGCCAGCAGCCGCGGUAAUACGUAGGGGGCAAGCGUUAUCCGGAUUUACUGGGUGUAAAGGGAGCGUCGCCGGUGCAGCAAGUCUGAUGUGAAAGGUCGGGGCCCAACCCCGGGACUGCAUGGGAAACUGUUGAACUGGAGUUCAGGUGCGGUACGCGGCAUUCCUCUUGUAGCGGUGACAUGCGUAGAUCUUAGGAG